AAAAAGGGUGUUUGCUACUUGUAUAGCACACUGGAUCUCCACUCCGGUGGGGUAUGGAUAUCAAGACAUACCCAGCACACAAUAUUUGGAAUUGUGGGGCAGUUUUGCUACUUAACGCUGGACGCCCCC